rnacentral:tRNA from 1 species
GACCUUGUGGCGGAACGGUAGCGCGUCUGACUCCAGAUCAGAAGGUUGUGUGUUCAAUCACAUCAAGGUCA